CAGAGUUGCCUCACUGGUGAAGCUCUGCCUGCAUUAAAAGCAGAUAGGAGGUGUUACAGGGAUUCAUCUUCUCCUCAUUACUGAAACUAUUUUAAAAUCCAAGAUCUGAAAUGGUGUUCAGCUGCCCAAACCAACCAAUGUCAAGAAUCUGAACAACUCCUGCCAGGCCAAAGCUGAUUGGAGACAAAGCUGACUGUCAGCAGGGCCCUUAAAUAUCACUAAUGCUGGUUUCAGUUGAAUUCCAGUUCAAGUCUUUGUUUGCAAGGGGUCAUUCUUCAAUCCAACCAUUACAUGUAAUUCAACAUCAACCCUUCACCAUGGAUAAAGCAAUUGAAGCUCUGCAGUUAUACUGUUUGUGAGCUAUGUUUUACUCUCUGUAUGGCUGCUUUGGAAGCUAUGUACACACAUACUGUUUUAUUCAAGCAAGCUUUUAAUGUAUCAUCAUGUAUGGGAGGCUUUUAUAUGGAG